AUUGAACGCUGGCGGCAGGCCUAACACAUGCAAGUCGAGCGGAUGACGGGAGCUUGCUCCUUGAUUCAGCGGCGGACGGGUGAGUAAUGCCUAGGAAUCUGCCUGGUAGUGGGGGACAACGUUUCGAAAGGAACGCUAAUACCGCAUACGUCCUACGGGAGAAAGCAGGGGACCUUCGGGCCUUGCGCUAUCAGAUGAGCCUAGGUCGGAUUAGCUAGUAGGUGAGGUAAUGGCUCACCUAGGCGACGAUCCGUAACUGGUCUGAGAGGAUGAUAAGUCACCCUGGAACGGAGACCCGGUCCAGACUCCUACGGGAGGCAGCAGUGGGGAAUAUUGGACAAUGGGCGAAAGCCUGAUCCAGCCAUGCCGCGUGUGUGAAGAGGGUCUUCGGAUUGUAAAGCACUUUAAGUUGGGAGGAAGGGUUGUACGUUAAUACCGUGCAAUUUUGACGUUACCGACAGAAUAAGCACCGGCUAACUCUGUGCCAGCCGCCGCCGUAA
rnacentral:rRNA from 1 species